rnacentral:rRNA from 1 species
AGAGCGAACGCUGGCGGCAGGCUUAACACAUGCAAGUCGAGCGGGCGUAGCAAUACGUCAGCGGCAGACGGGUGAGUAACGCGUGGGAACGUACCUUUGGUUCGGAACAACACAGGGAAACUUGUGCUAAUACCGGAUAAGCCCUUACGGGGAAAGAUUUAUCGCCAAAAGAUCGGCCCGCGUCUGAUUAGCUAGUUGGUGAGGUAACGGCUCACCAAGGCGACGAUCAGUAGCUGGUCUGAGAGGAUGAUCAGCCACAUUGGGACUGAGACACGGCCCAAACUCCUACGGGAGGCAGCAGUGGGGAAUAUUGGACAAUGGGCGCAAGCCUGAUCCAGCCAUGCCGCGUGAGUGAUGAAGGCCCUAGGGUUGUAAAGCUCGUUUUGUGCGGGAAGAUAAUGACGGUACCGCAAGAAUAAGCCCCGGCUAACUUCGUGCCAGCAGCCGC